AAUCAAGUGCCUUAAGGGUGUUCGGUGGAUGCCUUGGCGCUGAGAGGCGAUGAAGGACGUGCUACGCUGCGAUAAGCCGUGGGGAGCUGCGAAGAAGCUUUGAUCCAUGGAUUUCCGAAUGGGGAAACCCACCUUCGAUAGCCGGAACUCCAAGACCUCAGUCGAAAGACUGUGGUGUGGGGUUCGAACAGAAAUGUGAGAUGCCUAAGCCUUUAGAUUUCGAUCGAAGAGGUUUUGGAUUUCCGGUUAUCAAAAGAAGGUAUGAGACUUCUGAAUACAUAGGAGGUUUCAAGCAAACCCAGGGAACUGAAACAUCUAAGUACCUGGAGGAAAGGACAUCAACAGAGACUCCGUUAGUAGUGGCGAGCGAACGCGGACCAGGCC
rnacentral:rRNA from 46 species